GCAUAUCAAUAAGCGGAGGAAAAGAAACUAACAAGGAUUCCCUUAGUAACGGCGAGUGAAGCGGGAAGAGCUCAAAUUUGAAAUCUUCAAGGUUCUACCUUGACGAAUUGUAGUUUAAAGAAGUGUUUUCUGUUAGAUGAGUAGCAAAAGUUCCUUGGAAUGGGACAUCAUAGAGGGUGAGAAUCCCGUAUUUGGUUAUUCAUUCUAGCUUUGUGAUACACUUUCAAAGAGUCGGAUUGUUUGGGAAUGCAGUCCAAAAUGGGUGGUAAAUUUCAUCUAAAGCUAAAUAUUGGCGAGAGACCGAUAGCGAACAAGUACCGUGAGGGAAAGAUGAAAAGAACUUUGAAAAGAGAGUUAAACAGUACGUGAAAUUGUCAAAAGGGAAGCGUUUGACACCAGUGUUGUUUUUCCGAAAAUCAAUUACGAUGGCUUGAUUUUGUGUUGUAUUGACCUUAUCAGCUUUCUGCACUUUUUUCGAGUCUUUCUUAAUGCACUUUUCGGUUAACAAGUCAACAUCAAUUUCUUUUGUUGUAAAAGAGUAUUCGGAAGGUGGCUUUCUUUUCGGAGAAAGUGUUUAUAGCCCUAUACUUCUACAAUCGGAGAGAUUGAGGUCUGCAGCGUAGAUCCUUUGGGGUUAGAUACAUUUGUGCUAAGUUGUAGCUUUUCAUAGACAACUUGUUGACUAUGUUUAGUCAUGCGGCUUACUCGCUUGUGCUAUUUUACCUACGCUUAGGAUGUUGACAAAAUGGUUUUAAACGACCCGUCUUGAAACACGGACC
rnacentral:rRNA from 1 species